rnacentral:rRNA from 1 species
UACGUAGGCAGCAAGCGUUGUUCGGAAUUACUGGGCGUAAAGAGUGUGUAGGCGGUGCUCUAAGUCUGUCGUGAAAUCUCCCGGCUUAACUGGGAGGGUGCGGCGGAAACUGGAAUGCUAGAGGGUGGGAGAGGAAAGCGGAAUUCCUGGUGUAGCGGUGAAAUGCGUAGAUAUCAGGAGGAACACCGGUGGCGAAGGCGGUGAUCUGGGCCGGCACUGACGCUGAGGAGCGAAAGCGUGGGGAGCAAACAGG